rnacentral:rRNA from 1 species
UUAAGCGACUAAGCGUACACGGUGGAUGCCCUGGCAGUCAGAGGCGAUGAAGGACGUGCUAAUCUGCGAUAAGCGUCGGUAAGGUGAUAUGAACCGUUAUAACCGGCGAUUUCCGAAUGGGGAAACCCAGUGUGUUUCGACACACUAUCAUUAACUGAAUCCAUAGGUUAAUGAGGCGAACCGGGGGAACUGAAACAUCUAAGUACCCCGAGGAAAAGAAAUCAACCGAGAUUCCCCCAGUAGCGGCGAGCGAACGGGGAGCAGCCCAGAGCCUGAAUCAGUGUGUGUGUUAGUGGAAGCGUCUGGAAAGGCGCGCGAUACAGGGUGACAGCCCCGUACACAAAAAUGCACAUGCUGUGAGCUCGAUGAGUAGGGCGGGACACGUGGUAUCCUGUCUGAAUAUGGGGGGACCAUCCUCCAAGGCUAAAUACUCCUGACUGACCGAUAGUGAACCAGUACCGUGAGGGAAAGGCGAAAAGAACCCCGGCGAGGGGAGUGAAAAAGAACCUGAAACCGUGUACGUACAAGCAGUGGGAGCACGCUUAGGCGUGUGACUGCGUACCUUUUGUAUAAUGGGUCAGCGACUUAUAUUCUGUAGCAAGGUUAACCGAAUAGGGGAGCCGAAGGGAAACCGAGUCUUAACUGGGCGUUAAGUUGCAGGGUAUAGACCCGAAACCCGGUGAUCUAGCCAUGGGCAGGUUGAAGGUUGGGUAACACUAACUGGAGGACCGAACCGACUAAUGUUGAAAAAUUAGCGGAUGACUUGUGGCUGGGGGUGAAAGGCCAAUCAAACCGGGAGAUAGCUGGUUCUCCCCGAAAGCUAUUUAGGUAGCGCCUCGUGAAUUCAUCUCCGGGGGUAGAGCACUGUUUCGGCAAGGGGGUCAUCCCGACUUACCAACCCGAUGCAAACUGCGAAUACCGGAGAAUGUUAUCACGGGAGACACACGGCGGGUGCUAACGUCCGUCGUGAAGAGGGAAACAACCCAGACCGCCAGCUAAGGUCCCAAAGUCAUGGUUAAGUGGGAAACGAUGUGGGAAGGCCCAGACAGCCAGGAUGUUGGCUUAGAAGCAGCCAUCAUUUAAAGAAAGCGUAAUAGCUCACUGGUCGAGUCGGCCUGCGCGGAAGAUGUAACGGGGCUAAACCAUGCACCGAAGCUGCGGCAGCGACGCUUAUGCGUUGUUGGGUAGGGGAGCGUUCUGUAAGCCUGUGAAGGUGUGCUGUGAGGCAUGCUGGAGGUAUCAGAAGUGCGAAUGCUGACAUAAGUAACGAUAAAGCGGGUGAAAAGCCCGCUCGCCGGAAGACCAAGGGUUCCUGUCCAACGUUAAUCGGGGCAGGGUGAGUCGACCCCUAAGGCGAGGCCGAAAGGCGUAGUCGAUGGGAAACAGGUUAAUAUUCCUGUACUUGGUGUUACUGCGAAGGGGGGACGGAGAAGGCUAUGUUGGCCGGGCGACGGUUGUCCCGGUUUAAGCGUGUAGGCUGGUUUUCCAGGCAAAUCCGGAAAAUCAAGGCUGAGGCGUGAUGACGAGGCACUACGGUGCUGAAGCAACAAAUGCCCUGCUUCCAGGAAAAGCCUCUAAGCAUCAGGUAACAUCAAAUCGUACCCCAAACCGACACAGGUGGUCAGGUAGAGAAUACCAAGGCGCUUGAGAGAACUCGGGUGAAGGAACUAGGCAAAAUGGUGCCGUAACUUCGGGAGAAGGCACGCUGAUAUGUAGGUGAAGUCCCUUGCGGAUGGAGCUGAAAUCAGUCGAAGAUACCAGCUGGCUGCAACUGUUUAUUAAAAACACAGCACUGUGCAAACACGAAAGUGGACGUAUACGGUGUGACGCCUGCCCGGUGCCGGAAGGUUAAUUGAUGGGGUCAGCGCAAGCGAAGCUCUUGAUCGAAGCCCCGGUAAACGGCGGCCGUAACUAUAACGGUCCUAAGGUAGCGAAAUUCCUUGUCAGGUAAG